GAUGAACGCUGGCGGCGUGCUAAUGCAUGCAAGUCGAACGCACACCUUCGGGUGUGAGUGGCGGACGGCUGAGGAACACGUGGGUAACCUGCCCCGCAGUGGGGGAUAACACGUCGAAAGAUGUGCUAAUCCCGCAUACGAUCCUUCGGGAGGAAAGCAGUAAUGCGCUGUGGGAGGGGCCUGCGGCCCAUCAGGUAGUUGGUGUGGUAACGGCGCACCAAGCCAAUGACGGGUACCUGGUCUGAGAGGACGACCAGGCAGACUGGGACUGAGACACGGCCCAGACUCCUACGGGAGGCAGCAGCAAGGAAUUUUCGGCAAUGGGCGAGAGCCUGACCGAGCAACGCCGCGUGCAGGAUGACGGCCUUCGGGUUGUAAACUGCUUUUGGAUGGGACGAUAAUGACGGUACCAUCCGAAUAAGCCCCGGCUAACUCCGUG
rnacentral:rRNA from 1 species